UCAAGCUAAAAAGGGCGCAAGGUGAAUGCCUUGGCACUGGGAGCCGAUGAAAGACGUGGUAAGCUGCGAAAAGCUUCGGGGAGGAGCAAACAUCCAUUGAUCCGGAGAUAUCUGAAUGGGGCAACCCAAUGGAGUUCAUACUCCAUUAUCCAAUACUGAAUCCAUAGGUAUUGGAAGGGAACCGCCUGAACUGAAACAUCUAAGUAGGGCGAGGAAGAGACAUCAAACGAGAUUCCGUAAGUAGUGGCGAGCGAACGCGGAAGAGGGCAAACCGAGAGGAGAAAUCCUUUCGGGGUACGGACUGCUUUUAGGACUGAAAGAGUUAACAGAAUGGCAUGGGAAGGCCAACCGAAGAGUGUGAGAGUCACGUAAGUAAAAAUUCUGACAGCUGCGCAGGAUCCAGAGUACGGCCAGACACGUGAAACCUGGUCGGAACAUGGGGGGACCACCCUCCAACCCUAAAUACUACCCAGUGACCGAUAGCGUAUAGUACUGUGAAGGAAAGGUGAAAAGGACCCCGGGAGGGGAGUGAAAGAGAACCUGAAACCUUGUGCCUACAAGCACAUAGAGCCCGUCAAAGGGUGAUAUGGUACUUUUUGUAGAACGGUCCGGCGAGCGAUUGUACGUUGCGAGCUUAAGGUCUUAAGGACUGGAGGCGUAGCGAGAGCGAGUCUAAACAGGGCGUUUAGUAGCGUGCAAUGGGCCCGAAACCGGGUGACCUACCCAUGAUCAGGCUGAAGUGAAAGUAAAAUUUCAUGGAGGGCCGAACCGACCUCCGUUGAAAAGGCGGCGGAUGAAUUGUGGGUAGCGGAGAAAUUCCAAUCGAACUCGGAGAUAGCUGGUUCUCCCCGAAAUAGCUUUAGGGCUAGCCUCAUGUUAGAUAUCCGGAGGUAAAGCACUGAAUGGCCUAGCGUCCGAGAGGAUAGCGAAGCCUAUCAAACUAAGAAUGCCGGAAUAUUGAUGCAUGGGAGUCAGACAGUGUGAGAUAAAUCUCAUUGUCAAAAGGGAAACAGCCCAGAUCUACAGCUAAGGUCCCAAAUUGUAUCUAAGUGGAAAACGAUGUGGAAAUACGCAGACAACCAGGAUGUUGGCUCAGAAGCAGCCACUCAUUUAAAGAGUGCGUAAUAGCUCACUGGUCGAGCGUCUCUGCGCGGAAAAUUUAACGGGGCUAAGAUACAAACCGAAGCUUAGGCUGCACUUUUAGUGCGGGGUAGGGGAGCGUUGUGUAAGCGGAGAAACAGUAGCGAAAGCGGCUGUGGAGUUUACAGAAGUGAGAAUGCCGGAAUGAGUAGCGCGAAUGAUGUGAGAAUCAUCAUGGCCGGAAACCUCAGGUUUUUGGAGGAAGGUUCGUCCGCUCCAAGUUAGGCGGGAGCUAAGGUGAGGCCGAAAGGCGUAGCCGAUGCACAGACGGUAGAGAUUCCGUCCCCACCGAAAGAUUUAAGCGCAGGGACACUUUUAGAAGGUCGGAGCCAGGUGUUGGUUCUGGUAGAGAUCGAGGGAAGAUUAGUACCGAAGUCCGGCUGGAUAAGAGGCGAGAAAAGCUGCGUGUAUAUCUAAGGUGCCCGUACCGCAAACCGACACAGGUAGGUAGGAAGAAGAUUCUAAGGCCAACGGGAGAAGGGUUGUUAAGGAACUCGGCAAAUUGACCCCGUAACUUCGGGAGAAGGGGUGCUCCAGAGAUGGAGCCGCAGAGAAUCGGCCCAAGCAACUGUUUACCAAAAACACAGGUUUGUGCUAAAUCGAAAGAUGACGUAUACGAGCUGACGCCUGCCCGGUGCUGGAAGGUUAAGAGGAGAUGUGCAAGCAUUGAAUCGAAGCCCCAGUGAACGGCGGCCGUAACUAUAACGGUCCUAAGGUAGCGAAAUUCCUUGUCAGGUAAG
rnacentral:rRNA from 1 species